AGCCCAGCGUGAGCGGCACCUGCUAGUCCGGGCUCGCCGAGGAGGCCGCCUCGCCGGGCUCUCACCGCCGCGCCCGCCCGAGCGGCUCAGAGGGCUUCGAGGGCUCCGAGGUCGCCCAGCAGCCGCGGUGGCCCCGCUGCCUGCAAGUCCGCCUGGCUCCGAGUCACGUGUCAGUGCCCGAGGCAGAGACUGAGAAAAAAACGCGCUUCAUUCCUUCUUCCACCGCCAUACUGUAUUUUCCUAAAUCUCAUUUUUAUUCCAACAUUUUACUCCCGCUCGUGGAAGGUUUUUCUGGAAAAAAAAAUGAAGUGCGGUUUGGUUUCCUUGUCAACGGAGGAUGAAGUGAACAGCACAACAGCUCGCAGAGAGCAGGUACUUGGCCCCCUCGGUGGCGUUCCCCGGGUGUGUGAUGGCAACGCUGGCCAAGAAGUCUGUGUGCGCGCGUGUGUGCGUGUGCGAGGGUGUGUGCGCGUGUGCGCGCCGGUUCUGGGCUGUGUCCGAGCCCGCAAUGGGGAAAGCCGCGCCGGAAGCCAGAACAAAAGUGCUCUCUGGGCCGCGAUGGUUUUGAAGAUGCGAACACCCCGUCCCCUGGUGGCGCCUAGGUUUGGGUGGCUGCAGGGGAACCAGAGCACAGCCGGCGGUCCAGCAAGUUGGCCUUAGCCACCCGCAGCGCCGGAAGCCUAGGGCCCCGCGGGGCGCUGACUGUGCGGUGAUCCGGUCCUCCGGGCGCAGAUGGAGGGUGAAGGGGCGGGGACCGCUGCCGCCCGGAGGCUGGCGGCUGGUCAGGCAGCCAGAGCUCGAGGUGUCUAGGAUGGCAGCAGUCACUGAGCGCUGCUCUCUCGCCUCUGCGACCCGCGGGAGCAGCGCAGUGGGUUCUUCCCAGCCGCCUCCGCUAGCUCCGGCAGCUUCACGUCUUCCGUGUUGUCUCCCUCAUGCUUUCCUGGCGGCGUCGCUUUGCUUUUAAACCCUUGCUGGUGUCUUCCGAGGAGAGGGAAUGGUCACUUGUACCUGUGCAUACUAGGUUUAAUGGGACGACGCCUACAAGGUACAUUAUCCUUUCUUUAAAAAUAGAC
rnacentral:lncRNA from 1 species